rnacentral:rRNA from 1 species
GAUGAACGCUGGCGGCGUGCCUAAUACAUGCAAGUCGAGCGAAUGGAUUAAGAGCUUGCUCUUAUGAAGUUAGCGGCGGACGGGUGAGUAACACGUGGGUAACCUGCCCAUAAGACUGGGAUAACUCCGGGAAACCGGGGCUAAUACCGGAUAACAUUUUGAACCGCAUGGUUCGAAAUUGAAAGGCGGCUUCGGCUGUCACUUAUGGAUGGACCCGCGUCGCAUUAGCUAGUUGGUGAGGUAACGGCUCACCAAGGCAACGAUGCGUAGUCGACCUUAGAGGGUGAUCGGCCACACUGGGACUGAGACACGGCCCAGACUCCUACGGGAGGCAGCAGUAGGGAAUCUUCCGCAAUGGACGAAAGUCUGACGGAGCAACGCCGCGUGAGUGAUGAAGGCUUUCGGGUCGUAAAACUCUGUUGCUAGGGAAGAACAAGUGCUAGUUGAAUAAGCUGGCACCUUGACGGUACCUAACCAGAAAGCCACGGCUAACUACGUGCCAGCCGCCGCGGUAA